AGGAAAGGCAGCAGCCCCAAGCUGGCCCAAGUGGGCAGAGGGAUCCUCCUCCUGUCAUCACUGGGAUGUCCUCUCUCAGAUGCCUAAGUCAUGGGGUGGAACUGCUGAGAAUACAAAAAAGACAACUCUUCCAGUCAAUGAUAGACCAUUUCAAAGCACUGGAAUAACCUUCCAAGGAAAACGCUGUGAUCUGCAUAUGAAAUGGCCAGAAAACUCCACCAGAAACAAGUUAUAAGCAGUGUUAAAAAGGAAGAUUGUCCUGCAUGGAGGCCUUCAAGGCUUUGAACCCUUGCUCUAGCCAGUGGAACAGAGAGUGGCUACACCAGCUUCACAGCUGAGCUGAAGUGGAGCAUCAGAACUGAAGAAGUCUUGGGUAAAAGCAGUCGUCUCGGGAAGCCGGCAGAGCUGCCCUAAAACACCACCGCUCUCCCCCUGCCCCGGCUAUGGCUUCGGAGGAUGUGUUUAAAGGCAGAUCAAGUUGUAACCGGCAGGGAUUUCUUCCAACAGCCCUUGUCGGGCUGGCAGACCCCUUGAUUUACGCCUGUCCUCGACGUCCUGCGUGGGGCUGGAUCUCGGUGGCUGCCCUGAAUAGGGCUUUUGCCGGAGCCGGGAUUACUCACACGAGUAACAGCUUGCGGGGAUUUGGCUUCCCCUUCCUGCUCGAAACACAGGAGAGUUGUUUUGGGGUUGUUGUUGUUUUUUUUUAAAGCAUAAUUAAAGCGAUGCUAAA